CAAGCAAUUUUAGCUGAUGCAGCUGCAUUCCACUCAGCAAAACAUCAUAGUUACUACAGUUUAUUUGAUACCUACUGUGUGUCAGAUACCACAGUAAGCACGUUGGCUGAAUUGGCUAAUUUAAUCAUUAAAAGUAGUUUGAGGCAGGUAUUCUUGAUCUCAUUUACAUAUAAGGAAUAAAGCUAAAAAAAUAAAAAUCUUAUUACUUGUCCAAAGUGGCAGAGUUCACAGAGAGAGGUGGCACUUGCAGCCUAGACAUAUUCCCCCUGGCCACGUAGAACAGCUUAAGGCAUGGUCCCUAUCUUUAGGAAGUUUAUCAUAUUUUUAAGAAAGCAAGACAAGCACAAAAAUGGAAAUAUACCAUGAGCGCCUCUGCAAAGUGGGUAUGUUUCCGGAGAUAGCUGACUGAUGGACAAGGCGAGACAGGCUGAGACAUUGAUUCCCUCUACACCAUGAAAAUGUCCUUAUCUGUUAGCCAAGAGGCUCAGAAAUAUUCUCAUCAUCCAUCCCCUUUCUAUUCAGUGGCGCUCAUUUAAAUGCAGCCUGAUUUGUUGAUAACCAAUGAGUUGGCACCAGUGUGGAAUAAGGAAAUGUAGCAUUUAGGAAGAGGAAUCUGGUGCCAUGGGCAAGAUAGAUUUAGACAAAGAAUCUGGGGUUUGGGAGAUCAGUAAGGAGGAAGUUGUAAUCAUUAGAGUAUCAGGAGAUGGGUCUGGACUGAAGCGAUAGAUGUGGGAUGGAGAGGAAGACAUUGUAAAAGAACCAUAGAGAGUAAUUCGGACUGCGUUGUUUAUGAGGGAUGAAGAAGAACAAUGACCAGUGACAAGUGUUUGACAGUGGCGUGGUGGAAGGGCAGAGCUACAGCUGAAGAGGAAGGAGAUAUGCCAACUAUAACGUUCUACUUAGAUGAAAUAAUAGAGAACAGUGAACAGAGAGAUGAAGCCUCCUCACCCUGAAAAUGCUUAUCUUUGCCCAGAAGUGACUUCUAACUUCCUUAGACAGGGUCUGGGGUGUGACCUGGCUGUCAAUAUUCUCCAGCGACCUUCCCAGGCAAAAAGCCAGGAAGACCUACAUAAUUUUCACCAUUGCUCCAACUGAAAGACUUCCCCAGGUGCAGCCUGCCUCCAGAAUCUAAGGUGGGGUGUCAGAAGCCACAAGCUCCAAGUAAGCCUCUAUGCCCACUUGUUGACAGGUUUGAUCCAAUUUGGACACCAUGCUAACCCUCCAGAUGACCUCGAGAUCAUUACCAUCUGACUAUAAUAAAACACACACCUACUAGCACCUUGACAGAUCUGAUCAUGCAUAUUCAUGAGAAGAAAAAGGUGGCACUCUGAUUCCAGGAAGCCUCUUCCUCCCUACCAACCAAAACUCCAAGUCUUCUUGCUUCUUGGCCCGUUAAUUACCUUAACCCCAUGAAACCGUGACCAUGAGACCUAACUGGGGAGAAGGUACCUUUAGAGCAGGAGCUCCCUCUCCAUUCCCUGGUCAUUGAAUAAAUUACCUGCCUGCCAUCAAAUAUUGUCUGUGGUUUGGCUGUUUGGUGAACAGUAUUGAGUGGGAAAAGAACCUCUACUAUGGUAACACUGCAUGCUAAGCAAGUUGUUAAAGGAUGGGGCACAAGAAUGUUCAGGACAUUGUCCCUUCCCUCAAGGACCUACCAUACAGGUAGAGGAGACCAACACAUGUAACUGUCUCAGUUUUCCAUCACUCAAACUUGGGACUCUUUUGAGAAAGUGUAUCAGCUAGGCUGAAAGUUCACAUGUAAGCAAGUCAGAACCUUAUUCCUCUUUCAUGCAAUAGUUGGAGGUAGACAAUCCAGAGUUAAAAUGAUAGUUCCAUUCUGUGAGUCCUCUAGAGAAUGAGGAUUCCUCUCUGUUGACAUUCUACCAUCACUUGAAGAUUAAAUUCUAUCUACAUUUUAAGCAGUAGGAUGGACAAAGAGGAAAGAAAAUGCAUAUUGUUCUCCAUUUAAGGACACAUCUAGGAAGUUGUACACAUUACUUAUACUUACACCUCACUGACCAUUGUUAAUCCGAGGCUCAUACCUGGCUACAAGUGAGGCUACAAAACAUAGACACCAUGUGCCCAACUACAGAUCAGAGGUUCCAUUAUUGAACAAGAGAAAAGCAGCAUCAGUCUCUUCAACUGGGAGUUGGUGGUGGUAUGAAUCCGGUUUUGACACCCUUCUGAUUUGGAUAUCUCUACCCUUACCUUCCUCCAUAACUUAUUAGCACACUGUCUUCUGCCAGCCUUCUCUGAAGCUUUGGAGGAAAGACAACAUAUGGCAGAGAGUAUGUUGAACUCCAUGUUAAAUCUGACUUUUCCUAAAGCCCAGUAAAAAAUAUCACCCAAUAUUUUAAGCCCCUCCCUGGUUGGUUAAACAUGCAACUUUUGAUUUCAGCUCAGGUCAUGAUCUCAGGGUGAUAAGAUCAAGCCCUGAGAUGGGCAUGGAACCUGCUAAAGAGGCAUUAAGAAAAAAAAAGAUUUUAAGCCCUUCUCAGAUGCACUCCAGCUGCCAACCUUGUUCUACUGCCCCUAGAGUUCUCCUUACUCCAUGAGGGCACCUGCCUUUACAAGCUUCUACAGAACAAAUCAUCUCCUGAACUUCUGGAAAGCCCUACUCCUUCAUAAGAGUUGAUUUGGUCAUCUCAUUGUCCUCCAGGCUUGUCACUCUCCCUUUACCCCCAGACAAUGGAAUACAUUUUCUAAUCUAAGAAUCAUAUUUCUCCAAGUCUGAGUUAUGGAGGUUGUAGAUGAGGUGGUGGUGCUCAAGAACUAGGAUUGGAGUAGCUUUUGAAACACCUUGGGGGUACCCCUAAAAAAUUGAGUCUACUGAGCUCCACUGGUUUGCUCUCUUGCUCUCUCUCUGUCACUCUCUCUGUCCCUCUGUCUCUGUCUCUGCCCUUCCCCCUCCCACACACACUUCCUUCCAAGGGCAAACCUGAAUUCUCAGAGACCAAACAGCUUAACCAGUAGAUGCAAACUUGAUUACUUCUUGAGGGAAGUACAUGAAUGAGUGAAGCAUGUUAGAUGGAGAAUUUGGCCAAAUGUGCCAUAUGUACCUGUCCUAAUGAUGCGGCCCACAUCUAGCUCCUAAGGAUUCUGAUCAUAUGGGUCAACAUUUUCAUCUCCUGUGUUUUGUUUUUGUUUUUUUUGUACAAAGGACACUGGAAAUCAACCUUUUUUUUUUUUUUUUCCAGAUGACAAUUCCAGGUUUUCAAAAUCUUGGCACUGCAUUAAAAAAUGUAAACAUUGUAUAACAGAUCUACUGGGUUGGAUCCCACUUAAAUGCAACCAGGAGCCUCCAGUUUGAGACUUCUUUAGUGAGCACUGAAAGAAACAUUUCCUUAGCUGGUUUUGGUAGCACCACAGAUAGCAUUCAAAUUUUGGUGAGUGUCUAGCAUUAUCUUCCAGAGCAAUGUGAGUUCCUUCUUUCAUUUCUGUCUCUUCAAAAUGUACCUACUUGAGCAAAGUAAGUAAUACUCAAAAUGUACCUACUUGAGUAAUAAGGCAGGGAAUAAUUUCUAGCUAUAGACUUAUUAUGACUAUACCUUUAACUGCAAAGAUCGUGGGAGAACUUGUGGACUUACCACCUGCAGGAGCCUGAUUAAGUAAAUGGACAGGAUGUUACCCUACUCCUCAGUCUCUGUGUAGGAAGGGAUCAUUCUUUUUUCCCCUUUAGAUCAGGUGAUUACAAUAUGGUGUGGAAAACAGCUGGGGCAGCACUAUCUCCACAGCAUUCUGUCUUGGUCCCUAGAAAACUCUUAGCUUCCCACUAGGACUUCACC
rnacentral:lncRNA from 1 species